CCUGCAGGAGGAGGAGGAGAGGAUAAAGAGGGACGCAGGACCUCGGCCGCCAGCAGCCCCGCCUCAGUUUCCCCAGGGUGGUGGACUCUUCACCUGGCACCAGCAGCGGAGAGGCAGAAACACGGGGAGGAGAGCAGGAGUAAAGACCCCGGGGAGACGGGCACCGGCAGACAGACGCGAAACACAGGGGCCUCGGGGAACCCGUGAGAAACAGGAAAGGGACGACAGGGGAUGGGCAAGAAAAAAAUGGCGGUGGGAAGACCGACAUGGCCAGGUCCUGGCCAGGCCCCAGGAGAGAAGACGAGAAGACCUCUCAGGUCAGAGGAGCCAUCACAAGACCCAAAGAUAAAGGUGUUCCUCUGUCUCUGUGCGAUCAUUUCAUGCAGCCCAGUGAAAUGAUCCCUUCACCUGGAGUGACCUUGAGUGUUUAGCUGUGGGAGGAAACAACCAACCCCUACCAGUACCUGAAUCUUGUCUAAGAAUUCUACUUGGGAUAUUAUCUGGGAUUCCAUGCCUGGAGUAUUCAACAUGAAACCUCAUCCUAGAGCCUCACCUGGGGACCAUCACACAGGUACCGCAGGAUCUCGCCCACAUACAGGAUCACUGUCACACCAUGCUGCCGGCAAUCAUUCCAGAAGCGGGAGGCAGAAAAUUUGGGGGCCAGGACACAGGUGGCUCCUGGGAGGAAGAGAAGGAGGGAGUUUCAAAUCAUGCUUCCGAGUAACUGUGAGAAACUGCUUUGAAUGUGUGAUUGUGGCACGUUAGAACACAGGACGAUGUCCGUCUCAUUUCUGUGUCUUGGCCCAGCAGGACUACUCCCCUGAGAAGAGUAUAGGGAGGCCUGGAUUCAAGUCUCGUUUCCAGAAGUGUGCAAAGCUCAGUACCUGGUAUAAAGUAGACACUGCCAAAUAGGGCUGGCGAUGAAUCAUUCUCAGAUUUGAUAAGUGAAUGACUAGUAAAGUAGAUGGGAAAGUGAUUCUUCCCUCCUGACCCCUAUAUGGCAUCUGGUUCAUCAUCCUGCACCCAAGGGGUAGCUGCUUGUGUGCCUGGUGAGGUAACAAACGUGUCUUCUCUGAGACUGUGUUUUUUGGGGAAAAGUAACAAUGCUCUCUGUGAAAACACAACCCA